CACAAACUCGGUCUAUUUCCCGGACGACACCAUCGCGAGCAGUUGGAACGCUCUUUCUACUGCUGUGCCCGAAAGUGAAGUUUACUUUUAAAGUGCCACAAAAGUGCUAGUUGUGCCACCCCAGAGCUUCAGGAGAAGCCGAAUUGUUCCCGUGUGGAAUUGGAGGACACCAGGACCCCUUGUGCUUUGGCAUAGCCAUUACGGCCAAGUGCACCAUCCGGAGACUCGCGCUACAUCCGAGUCGCCGCAGAAGCCGAACAGCUCGUACCUGUUCCUUAGUCCGGGAGUCCGGAUACCCUCGACGGUAAUCCGAAGGCCACUGCCGUAACCAUCGGUGGCGGAGGACAGGACGAGCCGCUUAACGGGUCCAUCGACGAUCGCGCCGGAGCGCCAGUAACACCCCGCGCGAGGACGAACGGCCUAGCCGUACGCCAAGAGAGAGAGUUGGUAGCAGAAGUGAGAGAAGAGGUUGAAGCGGAAGGAGAGGAGAGCAGGAAGCGGAAGGUGAAGUACCGGCGUCGCUGGAGUGCUGCGGUCGACGACGGGGCCCCGAAGAGAGGAGAAGAAGAAGAAGAAGUGAAAGGUCAGGUCAGUGUAGGAUUAAGAAAGUGGGAGGAAUAAAGCACUGUAGAAGAAGGAGAAAUAAAGUGUGUUUCUGACCCGCA